CUGUAUACAUACGACCACACUCCGAAUCCUACCUCGACUUGAUUAGGCACUGGAUUAAUGGACUUGAUCUCCGGGCGACAGUCCGGCUACACACCUCCCGCUAAUUCCGGUGCUACACAGCAGGUCUCGGGGACUCGGGGUUGCACAGGAUGACGCUUACGGCGGCAGUUCCGCGCGAGUACCGACGGUACAGAUGCUGACAGCCCACUCGACGUCUGCCGUUCCUCCACCGCCGCCGCAGGAGCAGGACGGAAUCGACGAUCCUGCAGGCCUCCCGAAGCUCCACAACUUCUUCAGCGAUCUCGGCCUCCCUAAUCCCGGCGACUUGGCCGCCGCGUCGCGCGGGACGCCACACGCCUCUCGGAUGUCGAUCGCCAGCGCUGCCGCGGCAGGGGUAGAGGAGCUCGCGCCUCCAUCGGAAGGCACGGCGCCACGCGUGGCAUGGUCAUAAGCCCCGAGAAGAAGCGCACUCGCCGGCAGCGGUAGGACUACAUUCCUGUAGUUGGCCGGCUCCGGCGCCACGGGAGGGAGACGAGGACUCGUGGACGCAAGCGCGGCCUGCAGCGACACGUCGGGCUCGGCUUUGGCGGCCACGGCGACGCGGCAGAGCGGGCAGGUGGAGUGGGAGGCGAGCCACGUGUCGACGCACGCGGCGUGGAAGCCGUGGCCGCACCGGGGCAGGAACCUCGCCUCAUCCCCGUCCUCCAGCUCCGCCAGGCACACUGCGCACUCCUCUGCCCCGACGACGUCCUCCGCGAAGCCCUUCGCCGGGGCCCCGCGCGCGCGGUACACCGUGACCGGCAGCGACCGCAGCAGCUCCAGGUCGACGCCCUUGUUCUUGUUCCCGACCGCCGCCACGGCCCCGGCGCCGCCGAUGCGCGGCGGCCAGCCCAGCGCCGUCGGGAAGCAGUUGUAGAAGCGGUACAGGAGGAAGACGAGCGCCAGAGCGAACACCGCGAACACCAGGAAGAUGCGCGCCAUGAUGAGCACGUCGUUGAGCGACAUGCUCGGCGCGGCCGCCGCCGCCGCUGCCGGCGCGACCGCCCAGCUCGAUAACGAGUCAGCGGCGGCGCCUUGCAUCGCCAUGAGGUUGAGCGGACGACUCGCGGCCGUGAACUCCGUGGGGUACGCCGUGGAGUACUUGGUAUAAGAUGGAAGUUGUGUAGGCUGCGCUCUAGAGCUAGCUCGUAUUUAUAUCUGCCCUGCGUCGGGAAGGAGUGGUGGAGCUGGAAUGAGGGUAGUGACGCCGACGUGGAUGAAGCAGAGGAGAAGGAAGCUGGAAGGGGGCAGGGGCGUGCCCCUCGACUGGAUCGAUCGACUUGGGUGGCAAGUCUCGAUCUCUGUUGCUGCCGUUUGCUCGCGGGGAGGACCAGUCAACGGCGGUGCCCGCGGGUUUUUUUCUACUCGUUCUGCCUGCGGAAGAUGCUUCGGAAGUUCGGAGGCGGACGGAGAUGUUCCGUUCUGUUCAUCGGCUAAUAUUUCUCUUAUCUAAAGGCGGAAGAUUUGAGGCCCUAUCCCUGCAUGUACGUGUCCUUAUCUCUGACGUUGGCAAGUCGUCGUUCCAGCCGUUCGAUGAUUUUUCUUUUUUCUGGGGAUGAUCUGUUGGGCUGGGCAGUGGACACCGAGCGUCGAACCAUCUGGAUCCCUCCUGACCCUACCAUCGCUCGCAACUCCCAGCUCCGCCGCCUUCCUUCCUUCUCCACCGACGAGGUCCGCCCAAACUGAUCCCUCCUGACCCUACCAUCUCUCGUGACCCCCGCUCCGCCGCCUUCCUACCUUCUCCACCGACGAGGCCUCCCCUAACUCCGCAGCUGCCCCUCCUCAGCCAUACUCUCGUGUAUAUGGAGAAACAUCCUCCCUUCUCAGGUAUUCCUCCGCCAACGAGCAACGCCAUGGCCUCACUGAUCUUGCUCUUCCUCCUCUUCUGUGAUUACUCUACUGUUCUUUUUUUUUUCCGUUGAUAUGCUAAGUGGAUAUUUGACCUGAUGAGGCAUAACUUCUUUAUUGAAAACAAUAAAUACUUCGAUGCUUUUGUCAUAUACUAAGUGGUUCCCUGUUCACGUCCCUUCAUCAAUUUCAGGUUCACGGUAAUGUAUGCUUCUCCAGUGUAGUUGUUACUCAGGAAGCUUCAUUUUUUUUAUGUUCUUUCAGAAUUUGAUGCCAAUAUUGAAAUCUCUGGUAGCCCCAUGUUGGUAAUGUUUCUUAAUCCACACCAUUGUUUAUGUUAGCUAGAAUAGAACUAGAUGCAGUUUUUUUUUAAAUGUUCUGCUGAAUGUUCAAGCCACGCUGUUGUGUCAAUCUCAGGAGUUCAAAUACUCUUUACACAUGUAGUUUUCUUUAAAAAGCAGAUUUAUCAUAAACAUAUCGAGUAACAAAAUUCAUGAAAUAUAUUAUCCAGUGAUUGUAUUAUAUACACGUUUGAGUCUACGUUGUUCAGUAUAGGUAGUCAUUUUUCUUGUGGGUAGUAUAGGUAGUCAUUUGAUUGAUCCAAGAUGAAAAGGACUGAACUACUCCCAAAUUAGGAGUACAUACGCUUUGAGACUGAAGGCUUCCCAAAUUAGGCCAAUUUCUCAAAAUAAUCAUGUACUCUGUAUAUGAAGUGUAUCGUUGUUCGUGGAGUACCUUAUCCAUAGUACAUUAUGUGAAUCUAUGAAUAUGGAUGCUCAGUGUUACUUCAGUAUCGACUGGACCUGCGAUUCUGUUUCUAAGAGAGCAAGCAGGAACCAAAGAUUAACAAAAACAGUAUAUUUUUCUGAAGUUCAUACUCCUUGUCGUGUAUGCUUUGAUUUUUGAAAAAAUAGAAAUUCUUAAAUUAACUGUGUGUGGUAAUAGGGCGGACAUCAACAUAAGGCCGUGGGGUGCACUACGGAAAGAUUUGGAUGCUGGCAAUAGGAGGGCGAGAUGGUAGAUAGAGAACCUUACGCUUACUGGAAAGGAAAUCUAGAUGUCACACUAUAACGCAAGAGCUGGUUGUUUCCAGUAAAGCAAGAAUGGAAUGCAUGGAUUUACAGGCAGGUAAUUGUUUGGGUUUACGUUACACUGCACUCUUUUAUAUGGAAAUCUAUCUUUCCUUUUUUUUCCUUCUAAUAAGUAGAAAAUCCUACUAUUGUCUACUAUAAAAAAUUAAGUCACCUCUGAAAAUGUUAUAAUCCUUCUGAUCUAGGUUUCAAAUAAAAUAAGAUGGUCUUAUGACUGAUUAGUGCUUAGCUGGUUUACUUUUGUUUUCCCAUUUAGGAUUGGAUCAAACAUAGCAAGGUAGGAUACAAAAAAUCAGAUUUGGCCAGUCAUUGUACCCACAUGUUUGCCUCUGUUAUAAGAUAGUUUUCUUCUUUCGUCAAUGUUGAAACUGUGAUGUUCGAUUAUAGAUACAAGAUCUACAUUGAAGGAUCAGCAUGGUCAAUCAGUGAUAAGUAUAUCCUAGCUUGUGAUUCAAUGACGCUGGUGAUUUACUACGAUUUCUUUUCAAGGGUGCUGAUGCCCACUAAGCAUUAUUGGCCAGUUCGAGAUGACAGCAAGUGCAGCUCCAUAAAGUACGAUGUUGACUAGGGAAAUCGAUAUAUUUAGCAAGAUAGCACGUGUGGUUUCUAAUUAUGCUUUACCUGAAUUAGUUUAGUACCUGGACAUUAGAUUGGUAGUUUACCCGCAUAUGAUUGGAGGUCAUCAGAAACUAUUGAAAAGGAAAUAUGUCACAAUUUAGGUAUUUUGAGAGAAACGUUGUUAUGAGAUCUACAAUCUCUAAUAUCUAAUUUUAGCUCCUCUUGUCAUGGUGCUAUAGUUAGCUUUUUUUGCUAUCUUCUUUUUUAUAUAUUAACAGCCAAAUGGUAGAGUUCACUUCAUCUUUGAUUCCAGUAUAGCAUGGGUAGCCUCCAUCCAGUAUAUGUAAAGCACCAGGUAUUAAACUACUUUUAUCCAUCCAUGUCAGGAGAAGAUGACAUUUGCUCAUGUGUGUUACAAUACCUAUGGAUGAAUCUAUUGUAGAAGUUACCUUGUGAUUACUUAACAUAUGGAACCUAACUAUACUAUAUGAUGAGUUAAUCACUCAGCUACUUCUACUGUCUUUUUGUACCACAUUUAAACUUUUCUUUUAGCAAGGCUGUGCCAUGUGUACGUUUUCAAUUAGCAUGGCUUUGCUUCUUUUCUUUUGACACUACUUCAUAUUUCUGUAGUGCUUAUUUUGUCAAUAGUUGCUAACUGUGUUGCCACUGCUCUUGAAUUUGGUUCAGCUGCUGCUCCAGCCUUGACGGUGUUGUUAAAGAUGGUUCCUGGCUUCCAUCUUGCGAAUUUAGUACCGAGGUUUAUCUUCGUGUUUUUUUUUUACUUUCAGUCAAUACAUGGUAUUUUUGGUCAUCCAACGAAGUAUUUUCACCAUGAUCUUCGUUGUAUCGUAAGUAUCCUGUGACAUGUUUCCAUACAGCCAUUGCAAGAAGACAUUGCAAAUGUCCAGGGCCACCUAUGGUAGGUGAUGCCGAUGGACAUCCCUUCAUCAUGUGAUUUUCUCCUUUCAGAUCUGGUAUAUGUGAUUUUUCUUCUGCUUAAUUCUGACUCAUUGUUGCUAUUGUAGGACUUUGCAAUCCUAGCACGAGCCAGGAGGAAUCUACUCAUGCGUGGUGUAUAGUGUACUGGCGCUUAAUACUUAGUAGGUAACAAACAAAGGUGGAAUGUAUUUGCUGUGAACAAUGCGUAUAAACCAGGUUUUUCCAUGCUAAUGGUUUUAGUUCUAUUUAAGUUAUCUUUUGGUCCCGUGAAGGUAAAAAUUGUCCUGUUAAGCUUAUUUCACAAAAAUAAUCCUAUUAAGUUUAUUUCGUGAAGAUCGUUGAUAAAACACUGGGCGCAGCGAAGCGCGCUAUUCCAUCUAGUUAUUACCACACCUGGCCCUUGUCUCUUGAUUCGUAGAGGUCCUUGUCCAACAUGCUCAAAGAGGGCUCACUGGACUGGGGAAAAAAAUCCUAAGAGACCGUCUCUCACCUAGCUAGUAGGAAUCCAGAUGGUAAUGGGUACCCAUACCCGUUUACCCGUAAAUACCCAUUAGGGUAUGGGUAUGAGUAUAUGAGUUAGCGUAGACUCGAGAGUGAGAAGGAGGGAUCCCGACUCGGGUGAGUUUGAUGCGGGUUUAACGGGCCAACAUGGUCAGGUCGGGUUUAGUCCGACGUAUCACCUGACAGGUGCGCCCCACCUGUAAGAAAUCCCGUCAAAACGACUAAUCACGUCAUUUCAUUUCGGGUUUGUUGUUACAUCGUGACUGUAGACAUGUGCUUUUUCGGGCAAAUUAGCGAAAGUGGGGGCUUCGUGAGAAGAAUGUGUGAUUCUGUGAAAUUUACUCCAAUUAUAAAGUAAAACACACUUGGAUUAAGUAUUGGUCCUAUUAUAUUUGACCUAUUAUCUUCUGUUGCUUAGUGGAUAGCCGUGAAGGUGCUCAGCCAUGGAAACUUGUCAUAUCUCCGCUACUGAAAUCUAACUGACGGUUUGUCGACAAUGCCGUGGCAUCUCCGUGAGCUUGAAGAAGUAAUCUUGUAAACUCUCCUUGGAUAGGCUGAAACGUCGCAGGGUACUCAACAAAUGGCAAAGCUGGUACUGAGUAUUGAUCGCGAGGUGCUGAUGGCGACGCAGCCGGCGCAGCCCGCUUCGAGGCAGCACGCAUAGGCGCAUCCCUCGGCACAGCCCUCGCAGCAGGCUGCAAUGCAGUACCCGCAGUCGAUGUUGUACUGUUGUAGUCCGAGUCGCUCAUCGUCUCGAUCUGCAGGUUGAAAGCGGCAAAACCUUAUCAAAGUUAGUGUUGGCGUGGUAUAUACAUCGCCGCCGCAACGUUCGAUUGAACACGAGACGGAAUCGGAUCCGCGUAGCAGAGAGAUCGACUACUCCCCGGAGUCCCGAACGCAUCAUAAAGAAGGAACAUGCAUAUGCGCGCCGAAGUCACCGCGCCGCCGAUAAUUUAGCGAUAGGAAUAAUAUCCCUUCCUAAUACAGAGGACUAAUUCUCGGACUGAAACCCAAUAAUAAUAAGGAAACCUGUACUCCUACUUCCUUCUCAAUAUAUGGAGCUCAAUUGAUCAGCCCUUUACAAAAAGAAUGUCUAUGCGCCUAUGUCCCGUACCCAAAUGUGAAAUAUAUGUACGGGUUUAGGAAUUGGAAUUGAUCUCCGGGCGACAGUACUCCGGUCUCCGGCUACACCUCCCGCAGUCCCGCUAAUUCCGGUGCUACACAGCAGGUCUCGGGGUUGCACAGGUCGACGAUGCCUCCGGCGGCAGUUCCGCGCGAGCACCGACGGUGCGGAUGCUGACACCCCGCUCGACGUCUGCCAUUCCUCCGCCGCUGCCGCAGGAGCAGG
rnacentral:lncRNA from 1 species